rnacentral:rRNA from 1 species
CCUACGGGAGGCAGCAGUGAGGAAUAUUGGUCAAUGGACGAGAGUCUGAACCAGCCAAGUAGCGUGAAGGAUGACUGCCCUAUGGGUUGUAAACUUCUUUUAUAUGGGAAUAAAACGUUCCACGUGUGGGAUUUUGUAUGUACCAUAUGAAUAAGGAUCGGCUAACUCCGUGCCAGCAGCCGCGGUAAUACGGAGGAUCCGAGCGUUAUUCGGAUUUAUUGGGUUUAAAGGGAGCGUAGGUGGAUGGUUAAGUCAGUUGUGAAAGUUUGCGGCUCAACCGUAAAAUUGCAGUUGAAACUGGCAGUCUUGAGUACAGUAGAGGUGGGCGGAAUUCGUGGUGUAGCGGUGAAAUGCUUAGAUAUCACGAAGAACUCCGAUUGCGAAGGCAGUUCACUGGACUGCAACUGACACUGAGGCUCGAAAGUGUGGGUAUCAAACAGGAUUAGAUACCCUUGUAGUC